rnacentral:lncRNA from 1 species
UGGUAGUAUCACGAAUAUAUCAAAAAAUCAAGAAUUGUUACUACAAAUAUAAGAUACAACAGUUAUAUUGUAAGCACAAUAAUGUUAUAGAAUUUCUCUUUAAGGGUAUGUUUUGUUGGAGGUAAAUGGAGGGGAGGGGGGGAGAGGGAAUACUUAUUAGCUUAUGUGUUUGGUUCAAAUUUUAAGAGGGGAAGAGGGGUAGAUGGAGGGGACCAAAAUCCCUCAUAAACCACUUUUUCCUUCCUCCCGAUUUGUGGGAAUUUAGAGGGGAGGGGAUGUGUUUCAUUUUAAUUAUAAUUAUAUUUACAUAUUUACCCUUAUUU